rnacentral:rRNA from 1 species
AUUGAACGCUGGCGGCAGGCCUAACACAUGCAAGUCGAACGAGUGGCGGACGUGUGAGUAAUGUCUGGGAAACUGCCUGUUGGAGGGGUAUAACCACUGGAAACGGUCGCUAAUACCGCAUACUAUCGGAUGAUCCCAGAUGGGAUGAGCCAGCGGGUGGGGUAAAGGCUCACCUAGGCGAAGAUCCCUAGCUGGUCUGAGAGGAUGACCAGCCAGACUGGAACUGAGACACGGUCCAGACGCCUACGGGAGGAAGCAGUGGGGAAUAUUGCACAAUGGGCGAAAGCCUGAUGCAGCCAUGGCGCGUGUGUGAAGAAGGCCUUCGGGUUGUAAAGUACUUUCAGCGGGGAGGCGUUACCCGCAGAAUAAGCACGGGCAAACUCCGUGCCAGCAGCCGCGGUAAUAC